CAGCAUGCUAUCCUAAGGACCUGGGCUUGUUCCGUAGUUCAAGGGUUCUCCAAGUGCAUGCAAGAAAACACAGGAUGGUCUUUGGCUGUUGUGGCUCUUUGUGUCAUCUACAGUCACUCAGCUGUCCUACAUGC